rnacentral:SRP_RNA from 1 species
GCUGGGCAUGGUGGCGGGUGCCUGUAAUCCCAGCUACUUGGGAGGCUGAGACAGGAGAAUCGCUCGAACCCGGGAGGCGGAGGUUGCAGUGAGCCAAGAUUGUACCACUGCACUCCAGCCUGGGUGAUAGAGUGAGACUCUGCCUCAA